AAACGGACGGAGCCGUCUGUGACCCGUCGGAAUCAGUCGAAUCGAUGCGUGAAGGCGAGUAUGACAUAAAACGGAACGAAAGUCCGGUCGUCUCGUAGUAAACAGUAGCGCUCGUUCGAUGCAUUUCCGAAGGGUAAGCACCGCGACCGAUGUCGAAGGCUAGUGAAGCCGUCGGAUUGAGGUCGAGCUCGUUUCUCGAGUCUCGUUACCAGUCCUUCGGUAUGAAUAGAAUUCGCUGGACCCUAGCAUCGAGAAUAAAAGCGAAUGUCGGUGAACUAUACGCUCACCUGCUACGAUGGACGUGCGGCCGUUCGAUCGUCGCCUGCUCGCAGGUUACGGUUUGAAUCAGGUUCGUAUCCGAAGUCGUCGGUGACGUUUUGACAUUCAGGCAUCCGCGGUGUCCGAGUCGGUCACCCGUCCGACCCGUCUUGAAACACGGACCAAGGAGUCUAACGUAAGCGCGAGCUAAUGGGUGGAAAACCUAUAAGCGAAAUAAAAGUAAAAGCCGUUUCGGACGGCCGAGGUACGAUCCCGAAGAGCGAAGUAUCUUCGGGCGCAGUACCAUCCCGUCCCGACCGCUUGUCGGUAGGGCGGAGAUAGAGUGCAUACGUUGGGACCCGAAAGAUGGUGAACUAUGCCUGAGCAGAGCGAAGCCAGAGGAAACUCUGGUGGAGGUUCGUAGCGGUUCUGACGUGCAAAUCGAUCGUCAGACUUGGGUAUAGGGGCGAAAGACUAAUCGAACCAUCUAGUAGCUGGUUCCCCCUGAAGUUUCCCUCAGGAUAGCUGAUACUCAGGGAAUAACGAAGUUUUAUCCGGUAAAGCGAAUGAUUAGAGGCCUUGGGGACGAAAUGACCUCAACCUAUUCUCAAACUUUAAAUGGGGUAAGAAGUCGAGCUUGCUCGAUCGAAGCCCGGCAUAUU
rnacentral:rRNA from 1 species